rnacentral:ncRNA from 1 species
CGCUAGGGGUGCCUCACCGGCGAGGCUGAGAACUGACCCUCGGAACCUGAUCCGGAUUGUACCGGCGUAGGAAAAGCGGAU